rnacentral:rRNA from 1 species
GAUCAUGGCUCAGGAUGAACGCUAGCGGCAGGCUUAACACAUGCAAGUCGAGGGGCAGCGGUGUGUAGCGAUACACUGCCUGCGACCGGCGCACGGGUGCGUAACGCGUAUGCAACCUACCCAUAACAGGGGCAUAACACUGAGAAAUUGGUACUAAUUCCCCAUAACAUUCGAAGAGGCAUCUCUUUGGGUUGAAAACUCCGGUGGUUAUGGAUGGGCAUGCGUUGUAUUAG